rnacentral:rRNA from 1 species
GACGGUACUUGAGGAAUAAGCCACGGCUAAUUCCGUGCCAGCAGCCGCGGUAAUACGGGAGUGGCAAGCGUUAUCCGGAAUUAUUGGGCGUAAAGCGUCCGCAGGCGGCCUUGUAAGUCUGUCGUUAAAGCGUGGAGCUUAACUCCAUUUCAGCGAUGGAAACUACAAGGCUUGAGUGUGGUAGGGGCAGAGGGAAUUCCCGGUGUAGCGGUGAAAUGCGUAGAUAUCGGGAAGAACACCAGUGGCGAAGGCGCUCUGCUGGGCCAUAACUGACGCUCAUGGACGAAAGCCAGGGGAGCGAAAGGGAUUAGAUACCCCUGUAGUCCUGGCCGUAAACGAUGAACACUAGGUGUCGGGGGAAUCGACCCCCUCGGUGUCGUAGCUAACGCGUUAAGUGUUCCGCCUGGGGAGUACGCACGCAAGUGUGAAACUCAAAGGAAUUGACGGGGGCCCGCACAAGCGGUGGAGUAUGUGGUUUAAUUCGAUGCAACGCGAAGAACCUUACCAGGGUUUGACAUCCUGCGAAUCCCUUGGAAACGAGGGAGUGCCUUCGGGAGCGCAGAGACGGGUGGUGCAUGGCUGUCGUCAGCUCGUGUCGUGAGAUGUUGGGUUAAGUCCCGCAACGAGCGCAACCCACGUCUUUAGUUGCCAGCAUUCAGUUGGACACUCUAGAGAGACCGCCGGUGAUAAACCGGAGGAAGGUGUGGAUGACGUCAAGUCAUCAUGCCCCUUACAUCCUGGGCUACACACGUACUACAAUGCUACGGACAAAGGGCAGCAAGCUCGCGAGAGUUAGCAAAUCCCAUGAACCGUGGCUCAGUUCAGAUCGUAGGCUGCAACUCGCCUACGUGAAGGAGGAAUCGCUAGUAAUCGCAGGUCAGCAUACUGCGGUGAAUACGUUCCCGGGCCUUGUACACACCGCCCGUCACACCAUGGAAGUUGGCCAUGCCCGAAGUCGUUACUCCAACCCUUGUGGAGGAGGACGC